UACGGAGGGUGCGAGCGUUGUCCGGAAUCACUGGGCGUAAAGGGCGCGUAGGCGGCUCAUGAAGGCUGUGGUGAAAGUCCGGGGCUCAACCUCGGAUCGGCCGUGGCGACUCGUGGGCUGGAGCACUGUAGAGGCGGGUGGAAUUCCGGGUGUAGCGGUGGAAUGCGUAGAGAUCCGGAAGAACACCGGUGCGAGGCGGUCUGCUGGGCAGUUGCUGGACACUGAGGCGCGACAGCGUGGGGGAGCAAACAGG
rnacentral:rRNA from 1 species